UUCUGCCUUUCUAUGUUCUAACGUUGUUUGGUCAAGGGAGGACAAGUGAAAAUUCUUUGAUCAAAAGUGGUGGCAGUCAUUUUCAUAAAGUGUUGUUUCAGAUUACUGGUAGUUGUGAUCUUUCAUGAAGCUUUCUUUGGGUUUUUGCCUGCAACUGUGUAUGUUUGUUUGAUGAUCAAGGAAGUUAUGUGUCCAUGGAUUCUGAAUUGUUGUAGGACAGGCGGGUAACUAACUUCUCAUAGGAUUGAUAUGGUUUGCCGCAUAUUGUAGCAUAACUUAGCUGCAAUGAAACUAAAAAAGAAUGAAAAAAAAAAAGAAGUGGCUGGUUCCCGGUGGAACCUGAAACCAGCUUGAAACUGGCAGGUUCGGUUUCAAAGUCGGUUCUAGGGUCCACAAGGGUUGGUUCCCAGUUUCAAGAAUUGGGAACGAGCCCCGAUAGGAUAGGUUCUAGGUUCUGGACCGAUUUGCUGUUAAAAUUGAGAAUGAACCUGAGUUUGAUCAGGAGGUAAACUCAAUGAGUGGAAGGAUUUUUCCACUUCACAGGAUGGUGCAGCAAAAGAGAAAGAGAAGAGAAAGGAGAAGAAAAUGUGGAAGAGGAGGAAGGAAAAAGAGGCAGAACUGAGCAAAAUGUCAACAAAAUCCCAAUUAAUGUUUCAAAAGUGGCUGAAUUACACGGAAAUAUUAUGAAGGAUUUUUUCAGUGUUGAUAUGGAUAUUUAAUUUAACAUCACCUUUGGCCACCAACAGCUUUGACAAAGGAUUUACAUCAUUGAAUGCCUAUUUACUUUCACAGCAUUUCUUUUUGAAUGCUCAUAACACAUUCUUCUCAUUGUCACCUUGCUUAACACAAGUUGAGGAAAAUUACUCUAUAAUAUUUUCAUGCAAUUUGGCCAUGUGAAACAUUUUGUGAUUUUGUUGGGCAUAUCGCAUUUUUUCUCAGCUUUGGCCUCUUUUUUGUUCCUCCUCCUCCUUUUCUUCUCCUUUGCCUUUCUCGACAUGGUCAAACAGUUUGUCUCCUCAGCUUUUGCAUGGUGCCUAUGCAAAUUCCGGAUAUAUCGUUGAAGAGGGCUAGUGUUGAACCUUCCCAAAAGAAGCUAUCUGAACGGACUCCUGGCAGAGAUAAUUCCAUAUAAUAGCCAGCCAUGUAAAGCAGACUUAAUUGUGCUGAGGAAAGCAGGUAAAGAGUUGAGAAUUGGUGAAAGGUAGUUGAUGUUUCUUAUGUAAUCUAAGAACAUUGUUCUAACUUGUCAUCCACUUUUCUUACAGUAUUCAAAAGGCCCUUUGUUGAUGAUUUUUCACUGUUUUGCUCUGAGAAAUUGGCUGUGGGGGUUUGGGGCCACGUAUGUUGUUCAAUCUGACCUGCAGUCUCCUCCUUUCUUGCACUUUCUUUCACACCAUCACAAGACUCUUUUCUGUGUGCACAUGCGUGUGUAUGUGCAUGGUUGUUAGGAUCACGAUCAUUCGUUCCAACGACUCAAAAACUUUGAACAAUUUGGAUUCUAAGAAAAAUGGUAGUCUGUGGGGGUUGUGAUCUGUAUCUUAGGAUGGCCAUCCCAACUACGAUUCCACUAUUCAAGCUUUAGAAGGCAAUUCUGCCUUUUUAGCUGGAGCAAAUAUGAAAUUGGGCCUCCGUUGCCUAGCACAUGUGCCACUUUCUUCUUAAUCAUGUUCAGGCUCCAUUUGGAAAAUAUAAGGCUUGGAGAAUUAAGAAAAAGGGAUGAAGAUGAAUGAACAGUAGAAAGCAAAGAAGUGCAGAGACACCAUUUCUUCAUCUUCUUCAGUCUUGAAUAAAUUAUGAGAUGGGCAUUGACCACUGUUGGCUUUUUGAACUGUGCCGUCCUUUGGAGAUGAGAGAGACAAAGCUCUGUCCUUCUGCAACCAGAUGAGAGAGACCUCUAACAUCCUUGAGAAAUUGGUGCACGAUUUGACUUGGCCUAGUAGCAUAAUAUCUUUGGAUGUAUAUUGAUUAGAACUUACCUUAAACUUUAAACAGUUGAAAAACCUAGAAUAGCCAGUGAAAGUGAGGUUCGUUAGAGAGAUGUGGUGGGGGUGUUAAAUUGGAGUGUGUGUCCCAGAUUGAGGUAAAUAAUAUUUUAUCCUUUGAAAUAAAGAAAGAGACAGUAUGUAUUCCGAGAGAGAGAAGGACAAAAUAAAGGAUUAGAAAUUAGGAAAAGGCAGGAAAGUAAUUUCUUGGCAGUCUUGUUCUUGAUUAUUAUGGUGAUUAUUUUAUUGUGAUCCUAUUUAAUACACCUUAAAAACUUGGGCGAGGAGAUUUUAUGCUUUUCCAUCUUUGACAUGGUGCUUUAAUUGUUAGUUGAAAAACUGGCAACCAAAAAUUUAAACCAGAGUAAUCUCUCACAUGAGAAUGCUACCUUUAAGCUUCACUAUCCCUCUUUUUAAGGUUAAUAUGCAUCUAAUUGCAAUGAUUUAAGCAAGAAUUUAGCACUUCAAAUAUGUAGGAUCUUAUGAUCUUGAUCUGAUCUCGAAGACUUCGAAAGGAUCCUACUUAGCAUCUUGAUCCUGAUAACCUUUUUGUGUGUGCGUGUGUGACAAAGGUUGCCCAGCUUUAAUAUUUAUUGUUAAUUUAUUUGGUCUUAGUUAUUCAUUUGACAGGAGAAAUAUGGAUCCAGUUGUAAAAUUUCUAAUGGGUGACUCCAGAGUGAAACUGCUUUUCUAUUGGUAAGCAGCUUUCACAUGGAGGUUUUCUUCUCUAUGUCAGUGGUCAUCUUGUCCCUGUGCUCAUAUUGCAUGGAUGGAGACUGACUGCAGAACAUUAAGAAAGUGUAAGGGCAAUUUUACAGUUUCCUCAUCAAUUUGGUGUAAGAUUGAUCUCUGAAGCGUAAUGGGCCCAAGAGUCUUGCAUGUAGGAUCAGCCUCUUUAAUUUCAGCCAAAGAGCAUGGAAAGUUUGUCUUUCUUUGUUUCUAUUAUGGAAUUCUGUGGCCUCCUUUUCUUCAGAUCGAAUGAAUAUCUAGUAUUUGUGCUCAUCUUGCAUGGAUGGAGACUGACUGCAGAACAUUAAGAAAGAGUAAGGGCAAUUUUACAGUUCCUCAUCAGUUUGGUGUAAGAUUGAUUUCUGAAGCAUAAUGGGCCUAAGAGCCUUGAGUGUAGGACCAGCCUCUUUAAUUUCAGCGAAAGAGUGGAAAAUUUUUCUUUGUUUGCUUCUAUUAUGGAAUGCUGCGGCCUCCUUUUCUUCAGAUGGAAUGAAUAGCUGGUAUUUGUUCUCCAACAGAUUAUAUUCUCUUGAGGCUUCAAGUUGUCCCUUUUAUCUAGUGAGGGUACUCAACUAAUUAAUAUACUAUGUCAUGUAGUAUAUUAUAUGAAUAACUUUUCCCUUUCAACUUUGUGAUUGCAUCGCUUCUUCCUGAUACUUGAAGUCUUACACAUUAGCAAGAAUCCUUAACAUCCUCGGUUAAGUUGAAAAUUAGCUUUGUACCCAUGAUAUGCCCCCCUUUCCAUCUUUGUUGUUUUCCUUGGAUCCUUGGUUUAAUUACACUAAUAUUUUGCUUACAAUGCCCAAUUGGUAAAAGCAUAUACUUAAACCACUGUGAGUAACCGUGUCUUUAGUAGCUAUUCAUUUUGAUAGCUUACCUGGACCACAGGUCCACAGUGGUGCUGUUUUGGGCUUUCUCUUGGUUGCUUAAGUCAAAUUGGACAAAAUUUUAGGAUUCUUUGUUUGUGUUUUUUUCUCUCUCAGUUCCUUGCCAAAUCCGCAAUUGUUGACCAGGAUUGAUCCAAAUGGAGCUUUGCUUUGACUUAGGUGAGUGAGUACGAGUUCUAAUUGUUCCAAAUACAUUGUUGUUUAUGCUGUCUGUUGUUUUUUCUGAUUCUGUCCACCCCGCCUUUCUGGUGUUUUUCUUGCUCUUUGGUUUUGCCCUUACAAGAGUGAGUGCCUUUUUGCCUCAUCAAGAUUCCUGUGAAGAGGUUUUGGUUUGUGAUUUGUAUUUUAUUACCCUUCAAUAUUGCAUUUCUUACCUUUACAAAUUGUGGUUCUUCUUCUUACAUGCUCAUCGGAAGAGAUGGAUUAUAUUUUGCUUUGACAACCAAAACAAAUGGUCAAACACCAAAUGAAAAACAAAUGCCAAAAGCGGCAAGGGAGGAAGUGUCUUCUAGGUCAGAUAUGAAUGAAGAUUCAAUAACUCCUAUGAGCAUACUAAUCACAUGAGAAUUGCCACAUGGGGUUAUUAUACAUAUUUCAUGUACAUGUUUGCUUUUAAGACUUAUUGGACCUGCUAACCUGUGGCUUCUAACCUGUGAUGGAUGUACAAUAUGCUGGUCAUGUGAUGUUGUUGUGUCAUUGGGUAUAUUGUGGUUGGUUUGGUAGGAAGGAGAGAUGUGUCGUGCAAUUUGGAAAAUGAUGUUACAAGGAUGAGUGCUUGGUGGAGGUACUAUUUAUUGAGUGUGUUUAGAGACUUUAAGCUAAUUCUAGUUUUGUUAUUAAAUGCAUGAAAUCAAAUGUGCAGAGAAAGGAGUGAAUAAACUUACGUCCUUGCUAAUUGCAUAUUUUGUUGGCCGACAUGAAUGAAUGUGCUUUAGACCAUCCCAAUAGGAAUUAUACCUGCAUUUCUGUUAUUAAAUUUUGGUUGAUAAGGCUUCCCAUGGAACAAUUGCUUCCCUCACUUGGGCUGUUUUAGACAAAUUUAUCAGCAAAAUAAGGCUGAUGUUAUGAAGCUCAUUGAUUUGAUGUUUUCUUACAGAGUAGCAUGGCCUUUCUAUUAAUGCAAGUAUAGCUUGAUCAGGAGACAGUCCAAAGGCUGAUUUUGUUUAUGGGAGUAUCCAUCCUGAUUCAGAGGUUGCUGAUAAUAUCAUUUGGAGAACUUCUCCUACUAUUGAUGUGGAUUCCAUCAAAUCGUUCAGAGAUACGAAGCUGCUGCGUGUUCUUCUUAGCUGUAGUCUAAGUUGAAUUGCAACUCUUUUUUUAGGUCAAGCAUGAUCAGAGAACCAGCUGGAUAUUUUUGUUGGAAGAAGAGACUUCGUAGGGCGAUCCUACCAUAUCUAUGAUAAUCAUCUAAGUUGGUUGUACCUCUUUUUUCUUUUCUUUUUGAACCAUAUACCAACUUGGUUGCUAAUGUCAUGUUUUGUUUUCUGUUGUAA